rnacentral:rRNA from 1 species
CCUACGGGAGGCAGCAGUGGGGGAUAUUGCACAAUGGGGGGAACCCUGAUGCAGCGACGCCGCGUGGGUGAAGGAGUGCUUCGGCAUGUAAAGCCCUAUCGGCAGGGAAGAAGCAAGACGGUACCUGACUAAGAAGCCCCGGCUAACUACGUGCAGGCAGCCGCGGUAAUACGUAGGGGGCGAGCGUUAUCCGGAUUCACUGGGUGGAAAGGGAGCGUAGACGGCCAUGCAAGCCAGGGGUGAAAUCCCGGGGCCCAACCCCGGGACUGCCCUUGGAACUGCAGGGCUGGAGUGCGGGAGGGGCAGGCGGAAUUCCGGGGGUAGCGGUGAAAUGCGUAGAUAUCAGGAGGAACACCGGCGGCGAAGGCGGCCUGCUGGACCGCGACUGACGUUGAGGCUCGAAAGCGUGGGGGAGCGAACAGGAUUAGAUACCCCUGUAGUC